rnacentral:tRNA from 1 species
GACCUCGUAGCUCAGUUGGUAGAGCAUUGGACUUGUAUCCCAAGGUCGCGGGUUCGAUCCCACCGCGGUCA